rnacentral:rRNA from 1 species
UACGGAGGAUGCGAGCGUUAUCCGGAUUUAUUGGGUUUAAAGGGUGCGUAGGCGGACUAUUAAGUCAGCUGUGAAAGUUUGCGGCUCAACCGUAAAAUUGCAGUUGAUACUGAUCGUCUUGAGUACAGUAUAGGUGGGCGGAAUUCGUGGUGUAGCGGUGAAAUGCUUAGAUAUCACGAAGAACUCCGAUUGCGAAGGCAGCUCACUGGAGUGUAACUGACGCUGAGGCACGAAAGUGUGGGUAUCAAACAGG